rnacentral:lncRNA from 1 species
UCUCAAUGAUCUUAAACGAGGUACUAAGACUAUAUCCACCUUUGACUCUUCUGUAUCGACGUACUCUAAAGGAAACAAGUAUUCGAGGAAUGUCCAUUCCAGCUGGGGUAGACCUCCUGUUACCAUUCUUGUUUCUUCACUAUGAUCCUGAGUAUUGGGGAGAUAACGCAGAAGAAUUCAAACCAGAGAGAUUCUCUGAAGGAGUUUCGAAAGCAUCAAAGGAUGAAAUUGCAUUUUACCCUUUUGGUUGGGGCCCUAGAUUUUGUCUAGGCCAAAACUUUGCCUUGACUGAAGCAAAGAUGGGUCUUACUAUGAUUCUACAAAAUUUCUGGUUUGAGCUUUCACCCUCUUACACGCAUGCUCCUUUUAAUGUCAUAACUCUUCAACCACAACAUGGAGCUCCUAUUAUACUACACCAAUUAUAAGGUUUACAUAGUAGUUUAGUAUCUUAUGAAGGGAAGCAACUCAGUUGAAUGAGUCACAGCAGGUUGUCCCAAUGUUUUGUUGUCAACCAGGAACAAGUUGGUGCAGUGGAGAGUGUUGUUUCUAUGCAUAAUGUUGCCAUCUGCUAUUGUAUUAAAGUGAUUAUUCCCUUUUCUUUCUUGUGGUUCUGAUGAUUGUCAUAGUAUGUUCUUAUGAAAGCACCACCUAAUGGAGAAAGAUGCUUAUUUCCUUCAAUCUUUCAUUGUUCUCUGCUGCUUUCUCAUCUUCCAUUAAAGGGAGAAAGUACAAGUAACUCCUGGAACUUGUCCUCUCCGUUUUGUACCCUGUAAAAUAGAUAGAUACAUCCCAAAGAUUUGACCUUUUAUAACUAUGACUUGUUAUCUUAAGACUCGAAUUAAAAUGGAGAUUUUUAAGGACCUCCAUUGUUCACAAGGUGGAACUCUGUUUUGGGUAUCCUCUGUUUUUUUUAUGUAGCCAUGAUUGCUGUAAUUUAACCUCUUCAAUAGUUUAAUUGUCUCUGAUUUUUUAACUUUUUAGAAUUGAUACAAAUUAAAUCUCUAAACUUUAUAUUUUUUUAAUAGAAUCCUUGAUUGAAUCGAUAAACUAUUAAAAGUUAAAUUAAAUUUUUAAAUGUAAUUAAUUCUUACUAUUUAUAUCAAAUUAACUUUUAAACUUUUUUUUUCAAUUAAGUUUUUAAUUAAACCUAUUAAAAGUUUCAUAAAAUAUUUAAAUUUAAUUAAUUCUUCUAAUAUUGGUUAUGUUGGAUUUUAGCCUCCAUUUUCUCUUCAUUUUCUUUCUUGUAAGUCUUUCUUUAGCUCAUCGAAUCAAAAUAUCAGUCUAGUUAUUUUGAUUUGUUGCAGCUUGAGGAUUUAUCUCUUUGUGUUUCGAAAAUAUUUUUUUAUUUUAAAUUUUGUAAAUUUUUUGUUUUGAAUAAAAAAGAAAAUGUAUUCUUUAUAAAACAAUUUUUUGGAGAUCCAAAAUUGAGUUAUGACAUCAUUAUGCAAUUUUUACUCUAAAAUAAAGAAAAUUAAAAAUUAAAAAAAUUGAAAGUUCAAGGCUUUGAUCCUAAUUAUAAAAUCUAAACUAGUUCGAAAGGUUUGCCCGAGACUUCGUUAACCCGGACUAGAUUGGGUUAAAAAUACAAAAGUGAGUUAGUUUGACCUGGUGAAAAACAUAGGUUGACUUGAUGUAAAACCCAAUCUACCUGGUCCUCAACUUAUUGAUGUUUUUUUUUUUUUUAAAGAAUCAAAACAAUAAUAUUUUAGUUAUUUUUUAAAAAUUGAAUCAAUCUAAUUUGACCUUUCCAGUCUAUGACUAGAACUUUGCUCCCAUUUAAAUUUUAGAACUAUGACUUAAUACCUGAUUGGGUAUUUGAGAGUAUGGUAACCGUAUUUUUUUAAAGUGUUUUUUUAUCUAGAAAUACAUUAAAUUUUUAUUUUAAAAAAAUUAUUUUUAACAUUAAAACGAUAUGAAAAAAAAAGACCAAUAAUUUGAAGAAAUAAAAAAAUUUAAUUUUUUAAAACAUAAAUUUUGUUUCUAAUGGAUCUUCACUGUCGAUUUGAACAGUGAAGGUGCGCAAGGAACUGAAUUUUGGACGUAGUCGGAAGGUUGGGUGAGCAGAUCGGAGAAUGGAUGGAUUCAAAUUACAAAGCUGAUGUGAGCAGCUCGGCCAAUAGCACGUGGUGGGCUCAUUUUACUGAACAAGAAGAGAUCCCUGUCCCUGCCAUGCGAUUUUUCCUUCCCGCCUGUGGUCCUCUUGCAAGUGGAUUGUAUUCCACUAGGGGUGUGCCGCGUGUUUGUGUGUGAGAGGGGAAGAUUCCGGUGACUAUUCCAAGUGGAAAAUAUGUCUAUGAUAAAUCAAUAUAUACCACUUAUGUUUUUUUCAUAAAUGAAAAAAAAAAUAUUUAAAAGAUAUUUGAAAUCAUAUUUGUCGCAGGGCAUGCUAACACGGCGUCGUGUGUUGGAAAGUAUUUUGGAUUUAAUCAUAAAAUUAUGGUUAAUGUUUAGGAGUCGUCACCGAGUAUUACGGUCACUAGAAACCUAUAGUCUGCGAGAGUCUGGGUAAAGUACUGGUUGUGCAAGGGGAAGACGCAUCACCCUCAGUACAACCUAAGGUAAGCUGCAUUAUUGUUUGAUUGUUUUUUUUUCUAAGUCAGGUUGGUCAUUUCUAAGGUUCAUGGCAAAUCUCUUUUCAUGAGAGAGUCUCUACCUAUUCGGUUACAUCCUAACCGUUCUAAAGUCUAUAUUUUUACACUUUGUAUCUUUAAUACCUGAGGGUGUACUUUAUCGUGUAAUUUUACACCUCACAAAUAUUAAAGUCUACAUCUGGAUCCUAAAAAAAAAGAUUAAAAAAAAAAAAAUUUUGACAUGUUGGUCAAAUCCUAAUGGAUAAUCAUAAACUGGUUAUAAUUUCUUUUUCUUUUUUAUGAAAAAUAUGCUUGGAAAAAUUUUAGGAUUUGGCCGUAUGCAACAAAAUAUUUUUUUCUUUUGAAUUUUUUUUUUUUGGAGAAAACCAGGUAUUUUAAUACCGGAUUUGUAUCUUACAAUGUAAGUAUACAAUCCAAUAUUUAAAAAAAUUGAUAAAAAAAUAUUUGAGAAAAUUUCAAAUUUUUUGAAAGGAUUUUUGUAAUUUUUUAAUUUAAUUAAUUUUUAUUUUUUAAUUAUAUAUUAAGUAAUUAAAUAUAUCAAAGCAUAUGGGCUGGGCCCAACACAGGCCCAGAAACAAGUGUAUUGAUUAUAGGAACAAAAUGAUUGGGUCGGCCUCGACCCAACAUAUUUUCUUCCUGCAUUUUAGGGACGGGCUGGACUCGGCCCAGCCAACUAGGCUAGGCUAAAGCAGGUCCAACCCAUAGCAGCUUAGUCACUAGGCAGCCUAGUGACUAAGUUGUAGGAACAGUGCAACGUGAAUUAUAAUUCACGUUGCAUUGUUCACGUGCAGCGAUGGAGGUGAAGAGAAGAAGAAGAAGAAGAAGAGAGGAGGGAGACUCACCUGGCGCUGAAGGAGCUGACGGCCUGACUGGUGGUGGUGAGGCUGGCGGCCGGCUGUGGCCGCAGCUGGAAGAAGAAGAAGAAGACGCCUACAAUGGAGAAGGGAAGCUCACAGUUGCAACUGUUGGAGCGGUUGAGGAGAGAUCUAAUAUCCUGGCGAUCUUUGGGAAAGGCAGAAGCUCUGGUCGUGGUGGUUGCUACGGCUGCUGGGGCCACGAUGGCAGAGAAGAAGCGUUUUAUAGAGGAGAGAGAGAGAAGUGGUGCAACAACUUCACAUGAUGUUUUGACAGCUGCUUGAGGUGAAGAUGACGGUGAGAAGACGAGUGAUGAUGGUGGUGGUGGCUGAAGGCCACGGUGGAGAGAGAAAGAAGAGAAAGGGCUGGUUGCAGGAAAAACGGGGCAGGGAAGGAUGGUUUUCGGCCAACUUUGGGUUCAAUUUUCUUCUCCCUCAGGCCAUCAAAUCCGUCUCUAUUUAUAGGCGGUGGAAGAGGGCAAUCUUGUCUAAAUUGGGGAAAAUUUCAACCCUUGAUUCGGUUGGGAAGGAUCCCAACCGUUGGCUCAAAGUGAGCAUCAUGAGUUGUUCAAUUCGCAGAUAAAGGCUUCCCGAGUUGGCCUGUUUAGGCCGACGCCGGCACCGUCUCGUUGACAUUUAGACUGUAAUGCUCAGUUGGGGUUGUAAAGAAACUGUGGGGGAUCAUUUGCGUGCACGUUUUGUUAGAUUUGAUGGAGAAAAGAAGCAUUAAAUGCGCCUGAAAAGUAGCCGCUUGGGUAGCAUUCACAGGUGAAAUCGGGGAAGAUAAUGAACAGUACCAGACGACGUGUUGCCUGGUUUUUUUUUUUUUACACAAAACGGCGCCGUUUUGGAUUGAAUUUGGGAGUUUAGCUUAUUUUAAAUUUAGUCCUUCAGCUUUCAAUUGACUUCAAUUGAACCCUAAUAACCUUUUACAACACGGUACUUGGUCUCGGAUUUUGUUAAUUUAACCCCUAAUUUACCAUUAAACUUUCAAUUUCACCCCCGAUUUUUAUCAAUUUCACCCUUAAAGGUUAGUGCUUGUUACGGAUUGGUCCAUGAUCUCGGAUUUUUUCAAUUUAACCCCUAAUUGACCCCAAAACUUCAAUCUUCUUGCAAUUUGGCCCCCAAUUUCAAUCAAUUAACUUGGUAAAUAUUAAAUUUGGUCUUUUAAAAUUCCAAUCUUCUCAAUUAAGCUCCCAAACUUAAUGUUUCACCAAUUAAGCCUAAAAUAAAAUUAAUUUGACCCCUUUAAAGUAUAAUUAAGUCCUUGCACUUACUUAAAUCCUUCAAUUGGACCCAAAUUAAUUCUUAAACAUAAUUAAAAUUUAAUUUGGCCUAUGAUUAAAUCAAAUUGGCCUAUUAAAAAUUUAAUUAUCUCAUUGGACUUAAUGUUUCACCAAUUAAGCCCAAAAUAAAAUUAAUUUGACCCAUUUAAAGUAUAAUUAAGUCCUUACACUUAAUUAAAUCCUUCAAUUGGAUCCAAAUUAAUUCCUAAACAUAAUUAAAAUUCAAUUUGGCCCAUGAUUAAAUCAAAUUGGCUUAUUAAAAAUUUAAUUAUGUCCUUGGAUUUAAUUUUUAUGCAAAUCCAUCCAAUAAUCAUUUAAUUUGACCUUCAAUUUGCAUUUUUUUUUUGGGCAUAAUGGGGUACAAUUAGGCCUUGAAUCUCCUCCAAAAAAUUACAGCUUGAUUCCCCGGCCUACUUUCUCUAUAUUGCCAGUCUUUAUUUUAUUUUUUAUUUUUAUUUUGAAAAACAAGUUAUUUUUGGAGAAUAAACCAGAAUUGGUUUAUGACAAUAUUAAUUAAUUUAUUAACUAGAAGAAAUAUAAAUACCUCAUGCAUUUUUUAUAUAAACAGUGAAACACCUCUUCUUCUAUUUCUUUUUUUAAAAUUUUUAAAUCUUUUCUUUUGAUAGACUCUUCUACAAUUAAAUUUGUUAAAAUUAUAUUCUUUGUUCUUUCCCCCCUUCAAUUUAGCCCUUUUUUUCAUUUUUUUUAUUUUUUCUCAAUUUCAUCAUUAGAUUUUUAUUUUAUUUUUUACAAUUAUCUAGCAUGGUUUUGGACUAAUCAAGUUAAUUAGAUCAUAUCGAUACAACUUUUACAUGAUUUAAUUUUAAACACGAGCCUAACAAGGAGUCGAGUGGAGAGCUUUUUCUUUUAAUUUCAUUGGUUUUUUUUCUAAAAACUUUUCUCAAACUUUUUUUAUUUAUCAGGUGAGUUGUUUUUGGAUCGAAGAAGCAGAUUAGGUCAUGCUAAAAAACUAUCAUAUUAUUUAAUUUUAAAUCCGGGUUAGACAUAAAAUUGGAUCGAAAUGCUUAUUUCCUUCAAUCUGUUAUUGUUCUCUGCUGCUUUCUCAUCUUCCAUUCAAGGGAGAGUGAAAAUAACUUCUGGAACUUGUCCUUUCCUUUUUGUACCCAGUAAAAUAGAUAGAUACAUCCCAAAGAUUUGGCUUUUUAUUACUAUGACUUAUUAUCUAAAGACUAAAAAAAAAAGGAGUUUUUUAUGGACCUUCACUGUUUAUAAGGUGCGUGAAGAACUCUGUUCUUGGUGUCCUCUGUUUGUUUUUUUAGCCAUGAUUGCAAUAAUUUAACCUCUUCAAGUUUUAAUUCUCUCUUAUUUUUUAACCUUUUAGAAUUGAUAAAAAUUAUAACACAAAUAAUUAUAUUUAAAAACUUAAAAUUAAAAAAACCUUGGAUCCUAACACAAAACUUAUUAGGCUUGGUCCUAUGUUAGAAUCCAAGAGAUUGGAUCCUAACAAAAGACCAAUAGUAUUGGGUUAGGCAAUGUUGUAGACCCAAGAAAUUUGGGUUUGCGUCCUAGCUAUACCUAAACUCCCUUGGACAUCGCCUUCUUUUUCUGCCUCAAGUUUCUUGAAUCUGGAAGAGAAUAUCUGACCCAAAAGAAACGAAAAAAAAUGAAAUCAAAUUACUGAUGGGUCCUUCUAGGGGUAAGACACCAAGACCCAUCAACUGGUCCUGCUAGAGAUAGAACACACGUUGAUGGGUCAGGCUCACAAGAAGAGUCAAGAGUCAUGGGUUUAGUGGUGGCUGGACCAAAAGCUAUUUUAGAUCAUAAUUAUAGCUUCAACAAAAAUCAAUAAGAGAAAAGAAAAAAAAAAUCAAGAGAGUAAAAACUAAAAUUAAAAAUAUCUUAAAAUAUUUUUUUAAAAAUAUAUUGAGAUAUUUUUUUAAUUUUUUAAAAUCUAUUUUAUAUAUAAUCACAUCAAAAUAAUAAUAAAAAAAUAUCUUAAUAUGAAUUAAGGAAAAUAUUAAUUUGAAGUGAAGAAAAAAAUAAAUAAUAAUAAUAAUUGAUUUUACCCUUAAAAUCAAAUCUAUGCUUUUUCCAUAGCAAUAAUAUUUAUUUUAAUUUCAAUAAUAUUAAUGAAUUUAAUAAUAUUUAUAAUAUUAAUAAUAAUAUUUAACUUAUCUGUCUAAUUUUUGUAUUUUUCAAUCUUUUAAAAACAAUUUAUGCUUUCUUCGAUCAUAGUAAUAAUUUUUUUUUUUAAUUUGGUAAUGGCAAUAACAAUAAUAAAAAAAGUGAUAAUAAUUCUUAAUUUUACCCUUCCAAUCAAAUAUUUUAUUAUUUUUCAAUAUUAAAAUUUUUUAUAUAAAUUUAUUUAUUAUUAUAUGAAUAAUAUUAAUUGUAAUACAAAUUAUAUUAUUUAUAAUAAAAAUAAUAGUAGGUUUAAUAUUAAUGAUAGUAAUUAUAAAAAAAUCAUAAUAUUUAUAUCAUAAAUAUUAAUAUUUUUCAUAGUAAUAAUUUUAAUUAUAAUAAAAAUAAUAAUAUUUAGAAUUUAAAUAAUAAUAAUAAUAUUUAUCAUAUUAAUAAUAGUAUUGAACUUGUCUGACCAAAGUUUUAAUCGUAAUAAGUGUUUGAAAAAACUUUAUUAACAAUAAUAAUAAUAAUUGAUAUUAUUUUUCAUUUUUCUUCUUUUCCCGCGCUAUACCGCGGACUCACCUUUUAUUUUAAUAAAAUAAUAUUAUAAAAAUCUAAGACCCAAAAGUAUUGGGUUUGGUUACAACGUCGAACCCAAGAGCAUUGAGUCUAGCUGCAACACCAAACCCUAUAAUAAUAUUUAUAAUAUUAGUAAUAAUAUUUAACUUGUCUUUCAAAAAAAAAUUUUAAUCUUUAAAAAAAUAGUAAUAAUAGUUUUUUAAAAUUUAAUAAUAAUAAUAAUUAAUAUAUUAUUAUUAUUAUUAACUUUACACUUCACAUCAAAUCUAUGGUUGUUUUUCAAUAUUGAUAAUAUUUGUUUUCAAAUUUAUUAAUUAUUUUAUUAAUAAUAUUAAUUAUGAUAAAAAAUAAUAAUAUCUAUAACACAAAUAAUACUAUUUUUAAUAUUAAUACUUUAAAUUAUAAUAAAAAUACUAAUAUUUAUGACAAUUUAGAUUAAUACUUUAAUUAUAAUAAAAAUAAUUAUAAUUAUAAUACAAAUGAUUAUAUUUAAAAACUUAUGACCCAAGAACCUUGAGUCAUAACGCAGGACUCAUUAAUCCUAGGUCCCGACACCACACCUAAGAGCUUUUGGUGCUGACACAACCCAAAAAAUUAGGUCCUGAUGCAGGACUUAAGAGAUUCGGUUCUGAUGAAGGAUCAAUAAUCUUUGGUCAAACGGGUCUGCAAAGACCUAAAGAAUUUAAGUAUGCGCCUAGCAACACCCAAGAUCCUUGGGUGAGGCACCCUUUCCUACCCCAAGUUUCUUAGGUUUGGAAAAGAAUGUUGGACUCAAGAGGAAAGAAAAAGAAAUGAAAAAGCAAUUAUUGGUGGAUCCUGCUAAGGGCAUGACCCAACAAUGAUGGAUCAUAUUAAGGACAUGACCCACAACUAAUGGGUUCAAUGGCGGCUGGACCCAAAGCUAUUUUGAAGUGAAGACCAAGCUUAAUAUAUUUCUCUUGAGUGUGGUUGCACAAUUAGACCCAAUCUCAAUAUAUUUAAAAAUAAAAUUAAAAAAAAUACAAAACAUAAAAAAUAUUAAUUUGAAGUAAAGAAAACAAUAAAAGAAUUUCAAAAAACUUUCAAUGUAUUUUUGGAAUGCAAAACCAAACAUGCUUUAAUAAGGAAAUUCAACCCAACCUGAAAUGAAAAAAAUAAUUAUCGUCACCUAACUUUUGUAUAAUAUAAAACAAAAUCACAUUAAUUUAUUUUCUCUUUACACUAUGAAAAAAAAAUCAAUAAGAGAAAAGAAAAAAAAAUUCAAGAGAGAAAAAAAUAAAAUUAGAAAUAUCUUAAAAUAUUUUUUAAAAAUUAUAUUGAGAUAAUAUUUUUUAUUGUUUUAAAUCCAUUUUUUAUAUAAUCACAUAAAAAAUAAUACAAAAUAUCUUAAUAUGAAUUAAAGGAAAAAAAUAUUAAUUUAAAGUUAAAAAAAUAAUCUUGUUAUAAAAUUUAUUAACAAUAACAAUAACAAUAACAAUAAUUGUUAUUACUUAUAUUUGUUUUUGUUUUUUUUUCAAAUCUGUUAUUUUUCUAUAUAGGUCUGUAGACCCAGCAACAUAGGUCUGCUACCCCUGGGGGAGUCUGCAGACUCCAGACUUGGCAUAACAAAACCCAGGCGUGCCUAGCCGCGUGGGUAUGCAACCUCUAACGGGGUCUGUAGAUCCCAAACAUGGCAAAAAAUACCCAGGGGCGGGUCUGUAUCCUGCUCCCAGUUAUGCACACCCAAGUGAGGGGUUCUGCAAACCUAGGCGAGACCCUAGAGGCGAGGGUCUGCAAUCGCGAGUAGGCUUGCAGACCCACUUGCCUGUGUCUACAGACAUGCACUUUGGUUCUACCACUCACGCUGGUCUGCACCCACCACCUGGGUAUGCAGCCCUUGCGCGCGGUUUAACAGACUUGCCCGCCUAGGUUUGCAACCUCUUGUCCGUGCCAGUCCCAACACCAUGUUUCUGCAACUUGGGGCCUGCGGUCCCACUUGACGCGCAGCCACCUAGGGCUUGGCAUCCCCAGCAUCAUGUCUGCAGCCUAGGGUUUGGAGUCCCACUUGGCAAGCGGGUACCCAAGGCUUUGCCAGCCCAGCAUCAAGUGUCUGUAGCCACACCAAAAUUAGAGCUAACCUAGGGGAGUGGAUCUGCAGCCUCAUUGUGCUCCCACCCACCAAGCAUUAUAAUUUAUAGUGAAAUCACUUAUAAUUCACAAUAACUCUUCUUAACUAGUGCAAUCCACAAAUAAAACGUUUUUAAUUCAUAAUUUCUUUCGUUGUAAUAAAAUACUGUUAAUAUUUUUAGUUAUAGUUAAUUGAUAACUUCAGCAGCAAGAUCAUUAAGUAAUACUCUAAAAGGCGUGGGAAAACUAUUGUAGCUUUCCGACGCCUUUUACUAAUAUAUUUACUUAUUAAUAUAUUAUAUAACUGUUAUUUUAUUUUAUUUUGUUUUUUGUUUUUUUAAUGAAUUUUUUUUAUUUGAUUUAGUUUGUUAAUGUUAAUUUUUUUUUAUUUAGUUAUCAGAUUUUCAUGAUACGGAUCCCGGAUUUGAUAGGUUAACCUAAUUUGACGAGUUAACCCGGAUUUUUUUUAAUUAUUUUUUUCAUUUAAUUUAGUUUGUUAAAGUUAAUUUUCUUUUUAUUUAAUUAUCAGACUUUCAUAACACGUAUCCUAGGCUUAACGGGUUAACUUGGUUUGAUGGGUUAACUCAGUUAAUUCUGGGUAAACCCAUCAUUUGUUUUUCUAUUUAGUUAUCAAACUUUCAUGACGUGAAUCCCAGGUUUUACGGGAUAACCUAAUUUAAAGGGUUAACCCAAUUAAUUCAUUUUUUUUUCUUUUUCUUCAUGUUGAUUUUUUUUCUUUGUUUUUUUUAAUUAAUCUAUUUAAUUAUUACACUUUUAUAACAAGACCUUAUAGCCAUACCCACAUCCAAUAUUUUUGGGUCCGUUGUUGCAGUCAUGCUCACUCAAACUUGGAUUAUACAAGUUUAAUGUUAUUAUUAAUAUUAUCAAUAUUACUCUUACGUCAGGCUUUGCAGCUAAACCCAAGAUUUUUGGAUAUAAUUUUGCAGAAAAACCUAAAAAUUUUAAAUUUUUAUUUUUUUUAUAUUUUUUAUAUAAAAAAAUAAACCGCGACAUCGCAAGGAUGAUAUACCUAGUAAUCUAUUAUUAGCGUAUAUCACGUGAGAAUAAUCUUCGUGCCCUUGGGCUGCAAGGCAAAUUAGGAUUUAUAUUCUCGUUCUGUCGUUUUCACUUUUUAUUUUUUUUGUUCUUGAAAUCAAUACACGUUAUUUUGGUGUUUCUGAAACAAUGAGACAAGAGAUGGGUUAUAAGUUUGUCAAGGAAAAACAAAAGGUCGACGUCAUUGGAAUCAAUAAAAUAAAUAAAGACAGGAAAGCAAUAAGGUUCAAGUUCAAACAGGAGCUAACAAAAGCCCUAUAAAUUCUUCACCAAUCGGGUCUCAUUUCCAUCAAAUUUCAUCGAUCCCAAGUUUGCUGAAGCAGCAGUUUCCAACCAAAAAACAAAAAUGGAAGAUUUUAUUUUCAGAGGGUUUCUGUCCUCUUCUUUACUUCUAUUUCUCUAUGUUGUGUUUAGAGUUGCUCACACGUUUUGGCUGAAACCGAAAAGCCAAGAGAAGCGUUUGAGGAAGCAAGGGAUCAGAGGCACUUCUUACAAGCUUUUGAAUGGUGAUAAGAAAGAGUUUGCAAGGUCUUCUAAAGAAGCUAGGUCCAGGCCCAUUGCUCUAAAUCAAGCAAUUGCACCACGUGUCCUUCCAUUCUUUUAUAAAAUGGUGCAAAUUUACGGUGAGCAGCAGCUUCACAAGCUAUCUCAUUUUUUCAGAUUUUUUUUAUUAUUUCUAGGAAUUUCUGUUCAUACAUGUAUUUGGUAAUCGGUAUUAUCCUGAUUUGUAAUGCGAACGAGAACAGGAAAGGUCUCCCUGUGUUGGAUGGGGACAAGACCUAGCCUGCUAUUAGCUGAUCCAGAGCUGGUGAGGUUGGUGUUAACAGACACGAGUGGUCACAUUAUAAAGCCACCGCAAAAUGCCCUUGUGGGUCUGUUACAGCGGGGAGUCUCAACCUUGGAAGGAGACGAAUGGGCCAAGCGCAGAAGGUUGAUGACACCUGCCUUCCACGCUGAGAGAUUAAGGGUAACUUCACCUACCUGAAUCUUGCAAGUUUAAACAUUCUUAAGAAAUUUUUACAGCUUGCAUUUGAAAAUUUAGAAUCUAUUUGGACUUCUUUACAUUUUAUCAAUUGACCAAUGUGCUGCAUAAGCAAAAAUUGAUCCAGAAAACAUUCAUGAAUGUCAGCAAAUGGCAAGAAGGAGUGAUAGAGAGUUAUAUAAAUUAUAUUUUGAAACCUGUGAUUGAGCUAUUGAAUUGAGAUAGUUCUAUAAUAUAACAUGGUAUUCUAUUGGAUUCAGUUGGUUUUUUGACAAGUUGAGGUGAUGGUACAGCUAUACACACCAAAACGUGUACUGUAGUCAAACUUGAGAUGGAGGCUUGAAAGAAUUCUUGAAUUAUCAUAAAGAAACUUUGCGGGAACUAGUAUAUCCAUUUAACUUGUAUACGUGUUUUAUAAGGAUUUUCGGAUUCCAGAUCUUUAGCCUUCAAUCACUAGCUUUUUAACUUUUGAAUUGAAUCAACGUUUGAUAUGGUAUUAGAGUCUAUAUGCUGAUUAGUGCUGGUUUGUGAACAGGGGAUGAUCCCAGCAUUUUCAGCCUGCUGUUGUGAUCUGGUUCAGCGAUGGAAGAAAUUAGCAGGUCCUCAGGGAUCAUGUGAAUUGGAUGUUGCAAGCGAAUUUAAUAUUCUUGCAAGUGAUGUUAUAGCUCGAGCAGCCUUUGGAAGCAGCUAUGAAGAGGGAAAGAAAAUAUUUGAUCUUCAAAAGGAUCAAGUUAUUUUGGCCCUUGAAGCUUUUUAUUCCAUUUACUUCCCUGGUUUGAGGUACAUAUUAAUGCCAUUUAUCUCUUGCAAAUUCAAGCUUCUCUCGGUGCUUGUUAAAAUUUUUAACCAAUGUCUGAUAAUACAUUAAAUCCCAGUUAACAACAUUUCAUUUCUUUGCGCUUCUCCAACAGAUUCAUACCCUCUAAAAAGAACAAGAAGAGAUACAGUAUAGACAAAGAGAUAAAAGCAGCAUUGAGAAAUAUUAUCCAUAAGAAGGAGCAGGCCAUGCAAAAUGGAGACUCAGGCGAUGCUGACUUGCUAGGCUUGCUUUUACAGGGCAGGGAUGAUGCUGAUAAUGACAUGAAAAUUGAAGAUGUAAUCGAGGAAUGCAAGUUGUUCUUCUUUGCAGGCCAAGAGACCACAGCAAACUUACUCACUUGGACAUUGAUAGUUCUAUCUAUGCAUCCAGUCUGGCAAGAGAAAGCAAGAGAAGAAGUUUUGCAGAUUUGUGGCAACAGAGCACCUGAUAUCGAUAGUAUAAAACAACUCAGAAUUGUAAGUACUUCUUUUGUUCACGCAUUAAUUUAUCAUGUUUUGUAAGCUACAGUCAACUCCUUGGAAACGAUUAUAAAUCCCUGGUUUAUGAAACUAAAUAAAUUUGCAGGUCUCAAUGAUCUUAAACGAGGUACUAAGACUAUAUCCACCUGUGAAUCUUCUGUAUCGACAUACUCUAAAGGAAACAAGCAUUCGAGGAAUGUCCAUUCCAGCUGGGUAGACCUCCUGUUACCAUUCCUGUUUCUUCACUAUGAUCCUGAGUAUUGGGGAGACAACGCAGAAGAAUUCAAACCAGAGAGAUUCUCUGAAGGAGUUUCGAAAGCAUCAAAGGAUGAAAUUGCAUUUUACCCUUUUGGUUGGGGCCCUAGAUUUUGUCUAGGCCAAAACUUUGCCUUGACUGAAGCAAAGAUGGCUCUUACUAUGAUUCUACAAAAUUUCUGGUUUGAGCUUUCACCCUCUUACACGCAUGCUCCUUGUAAUGUCAUAACUCUUCAACCACAACAUGGAGCUCCUAUUAUACUACACCAAUUAUAAGGUUUACAUAGUACUUUGGUGUCUUAGGAAGGGAAGCAACUCAGUUGAAUGAGUCACAGCAGGUUGUCCCAAUGUUUUGUUGUCAACCAGGAACAAGUUGGUGCAGUGGAGAGUGUUGUUUCUAUGCAUAAUGUUGCCAUCUGCUAUUGUAUUAAAGUGAUUAUUCCCUUUGCUUUCUUUUGGUUCUGAUGAUUGUUCAUAGUAUGUGCUUAUGAAAGCACCACCUAAUGGAGAAAGAUGCUUAUUUCCUUUAAUCUUUUAUUGUUCUCUGCUGCACUUUCUCAUCUUCCAUUGAAGGGAGAGAUUACAAGUAACUCCUGGAACUUGUCCUUUCUUUUUUGUACCCUGUAAAAUAGAUAGAUGCAUCUCAAAGAUUUGGCUUUUUAUAACUGACUUAUUAUCUGAAGACUCAAGAAAAAAAAAAAAAAAUUGGAGUUUUUUAUGGACCUUCACUGUUUAUCAGGUGCGCGAAGAACUCUGUUGUGGGUGUUCUAUGUUUUUUUUUUUUUUUUAGCCAUGAUGAUUGCAAUAAUUUAACCUCUUCAAGUUUUAAUUCUCUAAUUCUUUAACUUUUUAGAAUUGAUAUAAAUUAUAACAUAAAUAAUUAUAUUUAAAAAUUAAAAAUUAAAAAAUCUCGAGGUUUUAAGACUCACUAGUUUUAUGUCCUAUCAGAAUCCAAAAGAUUGGAACAAAACAAAAAACCAAUAGUAUUAGAUUAGGCAAGGCUAUAAACCCAAAGAAUUUGGGUUUGCAUCCUAGCCACAACUAAACUUUCUUGGACGUGUCUUUCUUUUCUUGUCUCAAGUUUCUUGAAUAAUGUUUGACACAAAAAAAAAUCAAAUUAUUGAUGGGUUUUUCUAGGGGCAAGACCUAUUAACUGGUCCUAUUAGAGAUAGAACCCACGUUACUGGGUCAUACUCGUAGUAAGAGCCAAGACUGAUGGGCUUAGUGGUGACUGAAUCCAAAGCUAUUUUGGAUUAUAUUUAUAGUUUCAACAAAAAUCAAUAAGAUAAAAGAAAAAAAAAUCAAGAGAGUAAAAAAAAAAUUAGAAUAUCUUAAAAUAUUUUAAAAAAAAUAGAUUGAGAUAAUUUUUUGUAAUUUUUUAAAUUCUAUUUUAUAUAUAAUCACAUCAAAAUAAUAAAUAAAAUAUCUUAAAAUAUUUUUUAAAAAUAGAUUGAGAUAAUUUUUUUUUAAUUUUUUAAAAUCUAUUUUAUAUAUAAUCACAUCAAAAUAAUAAAUAAAAUAUCUUAAUAUGAAUUAAGAAAAAUAUUAAUUUGAAGUGAAGAAAUAAUAAUAAUAAUAAUAAUAAUUUAUUUUACCCUUAAAAUCAAAUCUAUAUUUUUUUCUACAUCAAUAAUAUUUAUUUGAAUUUCAAUAAUAUUAAUGAAUUUAAUAAUAUUUAUAAUAGUAAUAAUAAUAUUUAACUUCUCUACCCAAUUUUUUAUAUUUUUCAAUCUUUGAAAAACAAUUUAUGCUUUCUUCGAUGAUAGUAAUAAUUUUUUUAAAAAAUCUGGUAAUGACAAUAACAAUAAUAAAAAAAAGUGAUAAUAAUUUUUAAUUUUACCCUUCAAAUCAAAUCUAUUAUUAUUUUUCAAUAUUAAAAAUAUUUUAUACAAAUUUAUUAAUUAUUAUAUGAAUACUAUUAAUUGUAAUACAAAUUAUAAUAUUUAUAAUAAAAAUAAUAGUAGGUUUAAUAUUAAUGAUAUUAAUUAUAAAAAAAUCAUAAUAUUUAUAUCACAAAUAAUAAUAUUUUUCAUACUAAUAAUAGUAAUAAUAUUUAUCAUAUUAAUAAUAGUAUUGAACUUGUUUGACCAAAGUUUUAAUAGUAAUAAGUGUUUUAAAAAAAAUUUAUUAACAAUAAUGAUAACAAUGAUAAUAAUAAUAAUUGAAAUAUUUUUUUUCAUUUUUUUUCUUUGCCCGCGCUACACUGCGGGCUUACCUUUUAUUUUAAUAAAAUAAUAUUAUAAAAAUCAAAGACCCAAAAGCGUUGGGUUUGGCUGCAACAGCAGACCCAAGAACAAUGAGUCUAGCUGCAAUGCCAUACCCAAUAAUAAUAUUUAACUUGCCUUCCAAAAUUUUUAUUUUUUAAAAUUUUAAAAAAAUUAUGGUUUUUCUUCGAUAGUAAUAAUAUAUUUUUAAAAAUAAUAAUAAUAAUAACAAUAUUUAAAACAAAAAUAAUUAUAUUUUUUAGAUUAAUACUUUAAUUAUAAUAAAAAAAUUAUAAUUAUAAUACAAAUAAUUAUAUUUAAAAACUUGGGACCCAAGAACCUUGAGUCCUGAUGCAGGACCCGUUAGCCUUGGGUCUCUGCGCCAGACCCAAGAGCUUUUGGUCCUGACAUAGCCUAAAAAAUUAGGCUCUGAUGUAGGACUUAAGAGAUUCGGGUCUGACGAAGGAUCAAUAAUCUUGGGUCAAGCAUGUUUGCAAAAUCUAAGGGAUUUAAUUUUGCGCCUAGCAACACCUUAGAUCCUUAGGUGAUGCACCCUUUCUUACCCGAGUUUCUUAGGUUUGGAAAAAAAAACUAGACUCAAGAGGAAAGAAAAAAAAAUUAUUGGUAGGUCCUGCUAAGGGCACGACCCAACACUAAUGGAUCAUGUUAAAGACAGGACCCAUGGCUAAUGGGUCCAGUAGCUAUUUUGAAGUAAAGACCAAACUUAAUUUAUUUUUCUUGGGUGUGGUUGCACAACUACACCCAAUCUCAAUAUAUUUAAAAAAAUUAAAAAAAAUACAAAAUAUAAAAAUAUUAAUUUGAAAUAAAGAAAAUAAUAAAAGAAUUUCAAAAAACUUUCAAUGUAUUUUUGAAACGCAAAACCAAACAUCCUUUAAUAAGGAAACUCGACCCAACCUGAAAUAAAAAACAAUUAUCAUAACCUAACUUUUUUAUUCCUGUUGAUUUUUUUUCUUUGCUUUUUUUGUUAAUUAAUCUAAUUAAUUAUUGCACUUUUAUGACACGACCUUAUAGCCAGACCCAUAUCUAAUAUUCUUGGGUCCGGUGUUACGGCUAUACUCACUUAAACUUGGGUCAUACAAGUUUUAAUGUUAUUAUUAAUAUUAUAAAUAUUACUUUUACGUCAGAUGUUACAGCCAAACCCAAUAUUUUUUUGUAUAAUUUUGCAAAAAUACUUAAAAUUUUUAUAUUUUUUUAUAUUUUUUAUACAAAAACAUAACCUACGGCAUCAAGCAGGUCAUGUAAGUAAUAAUUUAUUAUUAGCUGAUAUCACGUGAGAAUAAUCUUCGUGCCCUUGGGAUGCAAGGCAAAUUAGGAUUUAUAUUCUCGUUCUGUCGUUUUCACUUUUUUUUUUUUUUUUGUUCUUGAAAUCAACACACGUUAUUUUGGUGUUUGUGAAACAAUGGGACAAGAGAUGGGUUACAAGUUUGUCAAGGAAAAAUAAAAGGUAGACGUCAUUGGAAUCAAUAAAAUAAGAAAUAGUUUGGCAAUGGAGUUGAAAUCAUGUUUUUAUAAAAUUAAUUUUUUUUAUUAAAAUUUAAUAUGAUCGGUAUAUUUUGGAUCGUUUUGAUGUGUUAAUAUUAAAAAUAAUUUUUUUAAAAAAAAUUAUUAAUAUAUAUUUCAAUAUAAAAAAUUAUUUAAAAAAUAAUCACUAUUAUAUUACCAAAUAUACUAUAAAUUAAAAAAGGAAAGCAAUAAGAUCCAAGUUCAAACACGAGCUAACAAAAGCCCUAUAAAUUCUUCACCAAUCGGGUCUCAUUUCCAUCAAAUUUCAUCGAUCCCAAUGAGACAAGAGAUGGAUUUAUAUUCUCGUUCUGUCGUUUUCACUUUUUAUUUUUAUUUUUCUUGAAAUCAACAAUUUUGCUGUUUGUGAAACAAUGAGAGAUGGGUUAUAAGUUUGUCAAGGAAAAACAAAAGGUCGACGUCAUUGAAAUUAAUAAAAUAAUUAAUGUUUGGAAAGUUGAAAUUAUAUUUUUAUAAAAUUUUAAAUUUUUUUUUAUUAAAAUUUAAUGUGAUUUAUAUGUUUUAGAUCGUUUUAAUAUACUGAUAUCAAAAAUAAUUUUUAAAAAAUAAAAAUAAUUAUUGAUAUAUAUUUUAAUAUAAAAAAUUAUUUAAAAAACAACAACAACCAUACUACUAAAUAUACUCUAAAUAAAAAAAGAAAAGCAAUAAGUCCAAGUUCAAACAGGAGCUAACAAAAGCCCUAUAAAUUCUUCACCAAUCGGGUCUCAUUUCCAUCAAAUUUCAUCGAUCCCAAGUUUGCGGAAGCAGCAGUUUCCAACCAAAAAACAAAAAUGGAAGAUUUUAUUUUCAGAGGGUUUCUGUCCUCUUCUUUACUUCUAUCUCUCUAUGUUGUGUUUAGAGUUGCUCAAACUUUUUGGCUGAAGCCGAAAAGCCAAGAGAAGCGUUUGAAGAAGCAAGGGAUCAGAGGCACUUCUUACAAGCUUUUGAAUGGUGAUAAGAAAGAGUUUGCAAGGUCUUCUAAAGAAGCUAGGUCCAGGCCCAUUGCUCUAAAUCAAGAAAUUGCACCACGUGUCCUUCCAUUCUUUUAUAAAAUGGUGCAAAUUUACGGUGAGCAGCAGCUUCACAAGCUAUCUCGUUUUUUCAGAUUUUUUAAUUAUUUCUAGGAAUUCUGUUCAUUCAUAUAUUUGGUAAUCGGUAUUAUCCUGAUUUGUAAUGCGAACGAGAACAGGAAAGGUCUCCCUGUGUUGGAUGGGGACAAGACCUAGCCUGCUAUUAGCUGAUCCAGAGCUGGUGAGGUUGGUGUUAACAGACACGAGUGGUCACAUUAUAAAGCCACCGCGAAAUGCCCUUGUGGGUCUAUUACAGCUGGGAGUCUCAACCUUGGAAGGAGACAAAUGGGCCAAGCGCAGAAGGUUGAUGACACCUGCCUUCCACGCUGAGAGAUUAAGGGUAACUUCACCUACCUGAAUCUUGCAAGUUUAAACAUUCUUAAGAAAUUUUUACAGCUUGCAUUUGAAAAUUUAGAAUCUAUUUGGACUUCUUUACAUUUUAUCAAUUGACCAAUGUGCUGCAUAAGCAAAAAUUGAUCCAGAAAACAUUCAUGAAUGUCAGCAAAUGGCAAGAAGGAGUGAUAGAGAGUUAUAUAAAUUAUAUUUUGAAACCUGUGAUUGAGCUAUUGAAUUGAGAUAGUUCUAUAAUAUAACAUGGUAUUCUAUUGGAUUCAGAUGGUUUUUUGACAAGUUGAGGUGAUGGUACAGCUAUACACACCAAAACGUGUACUGUAGUCAAACUUGAGAUGGAGGCUUGAAAGAAUUCUUGAAUUAUCAUAAAGAAACUUUGCGGGAACUAGUAUAGCCAUUUAACUUGUAUACAUGUUUUAUAAGGAUUUUCGGGUUCCAGAUCUUUAGCCUUCAAUCACUAGCUUUUUAACUUUUGAAUUGAAUCAACGGUUGAUAUGGUAUAAGAGUCUAUAUACUGAUUAGUCCUGGUAUGUGAACAGGGGAUGAUCCCAGCAUUUUCAGCCUGCUGUUGUGAUCUGGUUCAGCGAUGGAAGAAAUUAGCAGGUCCUCAGGGAUCAUGUGAAUUGGAUGUUGCAAGCGAAUUUAAUAUUCUUGCAAGUGAUGUUAUAGCUCGAGCAGCCUUUGGAAGCAGCUAUGAAGAGGGAAAGAAAAUAUUUGAUCUUCAAAAAGAUCAAGUUAUUUUGGUCCUUGAAGCUUUUUAUUCCAUUUACUUCCCUGGUUUGGGGUACAUAUUAAUGCCAUUUAUCUCUUGCAAAUUCAAGCUUCUCUUGGUGCUUGUUAAAAUUUUUAACCAAUGUCUGAUAAUACAUUAAAUCCCAGUUAAGAACAUUUCAUUUCUUUGCGCUUCUCCAACAGAUUCAUACCCUCUAAAAAGAACAAGAAGAGAUACAGUAUAGACAGAGAGAUAAAAGCAGCAUUGAGAAAUAUUAUCCAUAAGAAGGAGCGGGCCAUGCAAAAUGGAGACUCAGGCGAUGCUGACUUGCUAGGCUUGCUUUUACAGGGCAGGGAUGAUGCUGAUAAUGACAUGAAAAUUGAAGAUGUAAUCGAGGAAUGCAAGUUGUUCUUCUUUGCAGGCCAAGAGACCACAGCAAACUUACUCACUUGGACAUUGAUAGUUCUAUCUAUUCAUCCUGUCUGGCAAGAGAAAGCAAGAGAAGAAGUUUUGCAGAUUUGUGGCAAGAGAACACCUGAUAUCGAUAGUAUAAAACAACUCAGAAUUGUAAGUACUUCUUUUGUUCACGCAUUAAUUUACUAUGUUUAGUGAGCUACAGUCAACUCCUUGGAAACGAUUAUAAAUCCUUGGUUUAUGACACUAAAUAAAUUUGCAGGUCUCAAUGAUCUUAAACGAGGUACUAAGACUAUAUCCACCUGUGAAUCUUCUGUAUCGACAUACUCUAAAGGAAACAAGCAUUCGAGGAAUGUCCAUUCCAGCUGGGGUAGACCUCCUGUUACCAUUCCUGUUUAUUCACUAUGAUCCUGAGUAUUGGGGAGACAACGCAGAAGAAUUCAAACCAGAGAGAUUCUCUGAAGGAGUUUCAAAAGCAUCAAAGGAUGAAAUUGCAUUUUACCCUUUUGGCUGGGGCCCUAGAUUUUGUCUAGGCCAAAACUUUGCCUUGACUGAAGCAAAGAUGGCUCUUACUAUGAUUCUACAAAAUUUCUGGUUUGAGCUUUCACCCUCUUACACGCAUGCUCCUUUUAAUGUCAUAACUCUUCAACCACAACAUGGAGCUCCUAUUAUACUACACCAAUUAUAAGGUUUACAUAGUAGUUUAGUAUCUUAUGAAGGGAAGCAACUCAGUUGAAUGAGUCACAGCAGGUUGUCCCAAUGUUUUGUUGUCAACCAGGAACAAGUUGGUGCAGUGGAGAGUGUUGUUUCUAUGCAUAAUGUUGCCAUCUGCUAUUGUAUUAAAGUGAUUAUUCCUUUUCUUUCUUGUGGUUCUGAUGAUUGUUCAUAGUAUGUGCUUAUGAAAGCACCACCUAAUGGAGAAAGAUGCUUAUUUCCUUCAAUCUUUCAUUGUUCUCUGCUGCUUUCUCAUCUUCCAUUAAAGGGAGAGAGUACAAGUAACUCCUGGAACUUGUCCUCUCCGUUUUGUACCCUGUAAAAUAGAUAGAUACAUCCCAAAGAUUUGGCCUUUUAUAACUAUGACUUGUUAUCUUAAGACUCGAAUUAAAAUGGAGAUUUUUAAGGACCUCCAUUGUUCACAAGGUGCGCGAGGAACUCUGUUUUGGGUAUCCUCUGUUUUUUUUAUGUAGCCAUGAUUGCUGUAAUUUAACCUCUUCAAUAGUUUAAUUAUCUCUGAUUUUUUAACUUUUUAGAAUUGAUACAAACUUUCAAUUUCUUCAAUUUUACCCCCGAUUUUUAUCAAUUUCACCCUUAAAGGUUAGUGCUUGUUACGGAUUGGUCCCUGAUCUCGGAUUUUUUCAAUUUAACCCCUAAUUGACCCCAAAACUUCAAUCUUCUUGCAAUUUGGCCCCCAAUUUCAAUCAAUUAACUUGGUAAAAAUUAAAUUUGAUCUUUUAAAAUUCCAAUCUUCUCAAUUAAGCUCAAAUUAAGCUCCCAAACUUAAUGUUUCACCAAUUAAGCCUAAAAUAAAAUUAAUUUGACCCCUUUAAAGUAUAAUUAAGUCCUUGCACUUACUUAAACCCUUCAAUUGGACCCAAAUUAAUUCUUAAACAUAAUUAAAAUUCAAUUUGGCCCAUGAUUAAAUCAAAUUGGCCUAUUAAAAAUUUAAUUAUGUCCUUGGACUUAAUGUUUCACCAAUUAAGCCCAAAAUAAAAUUAAUUUGACCCAUUUAAAGUAUAAUUAAGUCCUUACACUUAAUUAAAUCCUUCAAUUGGAUCCAAAUUAAUUCCUAAACAUAAUUAAAAUUCAAUUUGGCUCAUGAUUAAAUCAAAUUGGCUUAUUAAACAUUUAAUUAUAUCCUUGGACUUAAUUUUUAUGCAAAUCCAUCCAAUAAUCAUUUAACUUUACCUUCAAUUUGCAUUUUUUUUUUUAAUUUUUGGGCAUAAUGGGGUACAAUUAGGCCUUGAAUCUCCUCCAAAAAAUUGCAGCUUGAUUCCCCGGCCUACUUUCUCUAUAUUGCCAGUCUUUAUUUUAUUUUUUAUUUUUAUUUUGAAAAACAAGUUAUUUUUGGAGAAUAACCCAGAAUUGGGUUAUGACAAUAUUAAUUAAUUUAUUAACUAGAAGAAAUAUAAAUACCUCAUGCAUUUUUUAUAUAAAUAGUGAAACACCUCUUCUUCUAUUUCUUUUUUUAAAAUUUUUAAAUCUUUUUUUUUUAUAGACUCUUCUACAAUUAAAUUUGCUAAAAUUAUAUUCUUUGUUCUCCCCCCCCCCUUCAAUUUAGCCCUUUUUUUUAUUUUUUUCAUUUUAAUUUUAUUAUUUUUUCUCAAUUUCAUCAUUAGAUUUUUAUUUUUUUUUACAAUUAUCUAGCAUGGUUUUGGACUAAUCAAGUUAAUUAGAUCAUAUCGAUACAACUUUUACAUGAUUUAAUUUUAAACACGAGCCAAACAAGGAGUCGAGUGGAGAGCUUUUUCUUUUAAUUUCAUUGGUUUUUUUCUAAAAACUUUUCUCAAACUUUUUUUAUUUAUCAGGUGAGUUGUUUUUGGAUCGAAGAAGCAGAUUAGAUCAUGCCAAAAAACUAUCAUAUUAUUUAAUUUUAAAUCCGGGUUAGGCAUAAAAUUGGAUCGAAAUGCUUAUUUCCUUCAAUCUGUUAUUGUUCUCUGCUGCUUUCUCAUCUUCGAUUCAAGGGAGAGUGAAAAUAACUCCUGGAACUUGUCCUUUCCUUUUUGUACCCAGUAAAAUAGAUAGAUACAUCCCAAAGAUUUGGCUUUUUAUUACUAUGACUUACUAUCUAAAGACUAAAAAAAAAAAGGAGUUUUUUAUGGACCUUCACUGUUUAUAAGGUGCGUGAAUAACUUUGUUCUGGGUGUCCUCUGUUUUUUUUUUUAGCCAUGAUUGCAAUAAUUUAACCUCUUCAAGUUUUAAUUCUCUCUUAUUUUUUAACCUUUUAGAAUUGAUAAAAAUUAUAACACAAAUAAUUAUAUUUAAAAACUUAAAAUUAAAAAAACCUUGGAUCCUAACACAAAACUUAUUAGCCUUGGUCCUAUGUUAGAAUCCAAGAGAUUGGAUCCUAACAAAAGACCAAUAGUAUUGGGUUAGGCAAUGCUGUAGACCCAAAAAAUUUGGGUUUGCGUCCUAGCUAUACCUAAACUCCCUUGGACAUCGCCUUCUUUUUUUAAUUUGGUAAUGGCAAUAACAAUAAUAAAAAAAGUGAUAAUAAUUCUUAAUUUUACCCUUCCAAUCAAAUCUUUUAUUAUUUUUCAAUAUUAAAAAUAUUUUAUAUAAAUUUAUUAAUAAUUAUAUGAAUAAUAUUAAUUGUAAUACAAAUUAUAUUAUUUAUAAUAAAAAUAAUAGUAGGUUUAAUAUUAAUGAUAUUAAUUUUAAAACAAAUCAUAAUAUUUAUAUCAUAAAUAAUAAUAUUUUUCAUACUAAUAAUUUUAAUUAUAAUAAAAAUAAUAAUAUUUAUCAUAUUAAUAAUAGUAUUGAACUUGUCUGACCUUUAUUAACAAUAAUAAUAAUAAUUGAUAUUUUUUUUCAUUUUUCUUCUUUUCCCGCGCUAUACCGCGGACUCACCUUUUAUUUUAAUAAAAUAAUAUUAUAAAAAUCUAAGACCCAAAAGCAUUGGGUUUGGUUACAACGUCGAACCCAAGAGCAUUGAGUCUAGCUGCAACACCAAACCCUAUAAUAAUAUUUAUAAUAUUAGUAAUAAUAUUUAACUUGUCUUUCAAAAACAAAUUUAAUCUUUAAAAAAUUUUUGGUUUUUCUUUGAUAGUAAUAAUAGUUUUUUAAAAUUUAAUAAUAAUAAUAAUUAAUAUAUUAUUAUUAUUAUUAUUAACUUUACACUUCAAAUCAAAUCUAUGGUUGUUUUUCAAUAUUGAUAAUAUUUGUUUUCAAAUUUAUUAAUUAUUUUAUUAAUAAUAUUAAUUAUGAUAAAAAUAAUAAUAUUUAUAACACAAAUAAUACUAUUUUUAAUAUUAAUACUUUAAAUUAUAAUAAAAAUACUAAUAUUUAUAACAAAAAUAAUUAUAUUUUUUAGAUUAAUACUUUAAUUAUAAUAAAAAUAAUUAUAAUUAUAAUUAUAAUACAAAUAAUUAUAUUUAAAAACUUAUGACCCAAGAACCUUGAGUCAUAACGCAGGACCCAUUAACCCUAGGUCCCGACACCACACCUAAGAGCUUUUGGUCCUGACACAACCCAAAAUAUUAGGUCCUGAUGCAGGACUUAAAAGAUUCGGUUCUGAUGAAGGAUCAAUAAUCUUCGGUCAAACGGGUCUGCAAAGACCUAAAGAAUUUAAGUAUGCGCCUAGCAACACCCAAGAUCCUUAGGUGAGGCACCCUUUCCUACCCCAAGUUUCUUAGGUUUGGAAAAGAAUGCUGGACUCAAGAGAAAAGAAAAAGAAAUGAAAAAGCAAUUAUUGGUGGAUCCUGCUAAGAGCAUGACCCAACAUUGAUGGAUCAUAUUAAGGACAGGACCCACAGCUAAUGGGUUCAACGGCGGCUGGACCCAAAGCUAUUUUGAAGUGAAGACCAAACUUAAUAUAUUUCUCUUGGGUGUGGUUGUACAAUUAGACCCAAUCUCAAUAUAUUUAAAAAUAAAAUUAAAAAAAUACAAAACAUAAAAAAUAUUAAUUUGAAGUAAAGAAAACAAUAAAAGAAUUUCAAAAAACUUUCAAUGUAUUUUUGGAAAGCAAAACCAAACAUGCUUUAAUAAGGAAAUUCGACCCAACCUGAAAUGAAAAAAAUAAUUAUCGUCACCUAACUUUUGUAUAAUAUAAAACAAAAUCACAUUAAUUUAUUUUCUCUUUACACUAUGAAAAAAAAAUCAAUAAGAGAAGAAAAAAAAUUUCAAGAGAGAAAAAAAUAAAAUUAGAAAUAUCUUAAAAUAUUUUUUAAAAAUUAUAUUGAGAUAAUAUUUUUUAUUGUUUUAAAUCCAUUUUUUAUAUAAUCACAUAAAAAAUAAUACAAAAUAUCUUAAUAUGAAUUAAAGGAAAAAAAUAUUAAUUUAAAGUUAAAAAAAUAAUCUUGUUAUAAAAUUUAUUAACAAUAACAAUAACAAUAAUUGUUAUUACUUAUUAUAUUUUUUUUCAUUUUUUUUCAAAUCUGUUAUUUUUCUAUAUAGGUCUGUAGACCUAGCAACAUAGGUCUGCUACCCCUGGGGGAGCCUGCAGACUCCAGACUUGGCAUAACAAAACUCAAGCGUGCCUAGCCGUGUGGGUAUGCAACCUCUAAAGGGGUCUGUAGACCCCAAACAUGGCAAAAAAUACCCAGGGGCGGGUCUGUACCCCGCUUCCAGUUAUGCCAACCCAAGUGCGGGGUUCUGCAAAUCUAGGCAAGAGGGUCUGCGACCCUAGAGGCAAGGGUCUGCAAUCGCGAGUAGGCUUGCAGACCCCACACAUGCGAGUUUGCAGACCCACUUGCCUGUGUCGACAGACAUGCACUUUGGUUCUACCGCUCGCGCUGGUUUGCACCCACCACCUGGGUAUGCAGCCCUUGCGCGCGGUUUAACAGACUUGCCCGCCUAGGUUUGCAACCUCGUGUCCGUGCCAGUCUCAACACCAUGUUUCUGCAACUUGGGGCCUGCGGUCCCACUUGACGCGCAACCACCUAGGGCUUGGCAUCCCCAGCAUCAUGUCUGCAGCCUAGGGUUUGGAGUCCCACUUGGCAAGCGGGUACCCAGGGCUUUGUCAGCCCAGCAUCAAGUGUCUGUAGCCACACCAAAAUUAGAGCUAACCUUGGGAAGUGGAUCUGCAGCCUCAUUGUGCUCCCACCCACCAAGCAUUAUAAUUUAUAGUGAAAUCACUUAUAAUUCACAAUAACUCUUCUUAACUAGUGCAAUCCACAAAUAAAACGUUUUUAAUUCAUAAUUUCUUUCGUUGUAAUAAAAUAAUGUUAAUAUUUUUAGUUAUAGUUAAGUAAUACUCUAAAAGGCGUGGGAAAACUACUGUAGCUUUCCGACGCCUUUUACUAAUAUAUUUACUUAUUAAUAUAUUAUAUAACUGUUAUUUUAUUUUAUUUUGUUUUUUGUUUUUUUAAUGAAUUUUUUUUAUUUGAUUUAGUUUGUUAAUGUUAAUUUUUUUUUAUUUAGUUAUCAGAUUUUCAUGAUACAGAUCCCGGAUUUGAUAGGUUAACCUAAUUUGACGAGUUAACCCGGAUUUUUUUUAAUUAUUUUUUUCAUUUAAUUUAGUUUGUUAAAGUUAAUUUUCUUUCUAUUUAAUUAUCAGACUUUCAUGACACGUAUCCUAGGCUUAACGGGUUAACUUGGUUUGAUGGGUUAACUCAGUUAAUUCUGGGUAAACCCAUCAUUUGUUUUUCUAUUUAGUUAUCAAACUUUCAUGACGUGAAUCCCAGGUUUUACGGGAUAACCUGAUUUAAAGGGUUAACCCAAUUAAUUCAAUUUUUUUUCUUUUUCUUCAUGUUGAUUUUUUUUUUUAAUUAAUCUAUUUAAUUAUUACACUUUUAUAACAAGACCUUAUAGCCAUACCCACAUCCAAUAUUUUUGGGUCCGUUGUUGCAGUCAUGCUCACUUAAACUUGGAUUAUACAAGUUUAAUGUUAUUAUUAAUAUUAUCAAUAUUACUCUUACGUCAGGCUUUGCAGCUAAACCCAAGAUUUUUGGAUAUAAUUUUACAGAAAAAUUUAAAAAUUUUAAAUUUUUAUUUUUUUAUAUUUUUUAUAUAAAAAAAUAAACCGCGACAUCGCAAGGAUGAUAUACCUAGUAAUCUAUUAUUAGCGUAUAUCACGUGAGAAUAAUCUUCGUGCCCUUGGGCUGCAAGGCAAAUUAGGAUUUAUAUUCUCGUUCUGUCGUUUUCACUUUUUAUUUUUUUUGUUCUUGAAAUCAAUACACGUUAUUUUGGUUUUUCUGAAACAAUGAGACAAGAGAUGGGUUAUAAGUUUGUCAAGGAAAAACAAAAGGUCGACGUCAUUGGAAUCAAUAAAAUAAAUAAAGACAGGAAAGCAAUAAGGUUCAAGUUCAAACAGGAGCUAACAAAAGCCCUAUAAAUUCUUCACCAAUCGGGUCUCAUUUCCAUCAAAUUUCAUCGAUCCCAAGUUUGCUGAAGCAGCAGUUUCCAACCAAAAAACAAAAAUGGAAGAUUUUAUUUUCAGAGGGUUUCUGUCCUCUUCUUUACUUCUAUUCUCUAUGUUGUGUUUAGAGUUGCUCACACUUUUUGGCUGAAAGCCGAAAAGCCAAGAGAAGCGUUUGAGAAGCAAGGGAUCAGAGGCACUUCUUACAAGCUUUUGAAUGGUGAUAAGAAAGAGUUUGCAAGGUCUUCUAAAGAAGCUAGGUCCAGGCCCAUUGCUCUAAAUCAAGAAAUUGCACCACGUGUCCUUCCAUUCUUUUAUAAAAUGGUGCAAAUUUACGGUGAGCAGCAGCUUCACAAGCUAUCUCAUUUUUUCAGAUUUUUUUAUUAUUUCUAGGAAUUUCUGUUCAUACAUUAUUUGGUAAUCGGUAUUAUCCUGAUUUGUAAUGCGAACGAGAACAGGAAAGGUCUCCCUGUGUUGGAUGGGGACAAGACCUAGCCUGCUAUUAGCUGAUCCAGAGCUGGUGAGGUUGGUGUUAACAGACACGAGUGGUCACAUUAUAAAGCCACCGCGAAAUGCCCUUGUGGGUCUGUUACAGCGGGGAGUCUCAACCUUGGAAGGAGACAAAUGGGCCAAGCGCAGAAGGUUGAUGACACCUGCCUUCACGCUGAGAGAUUAAGGGUAACUUCACCUACCUGAAUCUUGCAAGUUUAAACAUUCUUAAGAAAUUUUUACAGCUUGCAUUUGAAAAUUUAGAAUCUAUUUGGACUUCUUUACAUUUUAUCAAUUGACCAAUGUGCUGCAUAAGCAAAAAUUGAUCCAGAAAACAUUCAUGAAUGUCAGCAAAUGGCAAGAAGGAGUGAUAGAGAGUUAUAUAAAUUAUAUUUUGAAACCUGUGAUUGAGCUAUUGAAUUGAGAUAGUUCUAUAAUAUAACAUGGUAUUCUAUUGGAUUCAGUUGGUUUUUUGACAAGUUGAGGUGAUGGUACAGCUAUACACACCAAAACGUGUACUGUAGUCAAACUUGAGAUGGAGGCUUGAAAGAAUUCUUGAAUUAUCAUAAAGAAACUUUGCGGGAACUAGUAUAUCCAUUUAACUUGUAUGCGAUGUUUUAUAAGGAUUUUCGGAUUCCAGAUCUUUAGCCUUCAAUCACUAGCUUUUUAACUUUUGAAUUUCAAUCACUAGCUUUUUAACUUUUGAUUGAAUCAACGUUUGAUGGUAUUGGGCUGGUUUGUGAACAGGGGAUGAUCCCAGCAUUUUCAGCCUGCUGUUGUGAUCUGGUUCAGCUGCAGGUCCUCAGGGAUCAUGUGAAUUGGAUGUUGCAAGCGAAUUUAAUAUUCUUGCAAGUGAUGUUAUAGCUCGAGCAGCCUUUGGAAGCAGCUAUGAAGAGGGAAAGAAAUAUUUGAUCUUCAAAAGGAUCAAGUUAUUUUGGCCCUUGAAGCUUUUUUUCCAUUUACUUCCCUGGUUUGGGGUAUUAAUGCCAAUCUCUUGCAAAUUCAAGCUUCUCUUGGUGCUUGUUAAAAUUUUUAACCAAUGUCUGAUACAUUAAAUCCCAGUUAACAACAUUUCAUUUCUUUGCGCUUCUCCAACAGAUUCAUACCCUCUAAAAAGAACAAGAAGAGAUACAGUAUAGACAGAGAGAUAAAAGCAGCAUUGAGAAAUAUUAUCCAUAAGAAGGAGCGGGCCAUGCAAAAUGGAGACUCAGGCGAUGCUGACUUGCUAGGCUUGCUUUUACAGGGCAGGGAUGAUGCUGAUAAUGACAUGAAAAUUGAAGAUGUAAUCGAGGAAUGCAAGUUGUUCUUCUUUGCAGGCCAAGAGACCACAGCAAAUUUACUCACCUGGACAUUGAUAGUUCUAUCUAUGCAUCCAGUCUGGCAAGAGAAAGCAAGAGAAGAAGUUUUGCAUAUUUGUGGCAACAGAGCACCUGAUAUCGAUAGUAUAAAACAACUCAGAAUUGUAAGUACUUCUUUUGUUCACGCAUUAAUUUAUCAUGUUUUGUAAGCUACAGUCAACUCCUUGGAAACGAUUAUAAAUCCCUGGUUUAUGAAACUAAAUAAAUUUGCAGGUCUCAAUGAUCUUAAACGAGGUACUAAGACUAUAUCCACCUGUGAAUCUUCUGUAUCGACAUACUCUAAAGGAAACAAGCAUUCGAGGAAUGUCCAUUCCAGCUGGAGUAGACCUCCUGUUACCAUUCCUGUUUCUUCACUAUGAUCCUGAGUAUUGGGGAGACAACGCAGAAGAAUUCAAACCAGAGAGAUUCUCUGAAGGAGUUUCGAAAGCAUCAAAGGAUGAAAUUGCAUUUUACCCUUUUGGUUGGGGCCCUAGAUUUUGUCUAGGCCAAAACUUUGCCUUGACUGAAGCAAAGAUGGCUCUUACUAUGAUUCUACAAAAUUUCUGGUUUGAGCUUUCACCCUCUUACACGCAUGCUCCUUGUAAUGUCAUAACUCUUCAACCACAACAUGGAGCUCCUAUUAUACUACACCAAUUAUAAGGUUUACAUAGUACUUUGGUGUCUUAGGAAGGGAAGCAACUCAGUUGAAUGAGUCACAGCAGGUUGUCCCAAUGUUUUGUUGUCAACCAGGAACAAGUUGGUGCAGUGGAGAGUGUUGUUUCUAUGCAUAAUGUUGCCAUCUGCUAUUGUAUUAAAGUGAUUAUUCCCUUUGCUUUCUUUUGGUUCUGAUGAUUGUUCAUAGUUUGUGCUUCUGAAAACACCACCUAAUGGAGAAAGAUGCUUAUUUCCUUCAAUCUUUUAUUGUUCUCUGCUGCUUUCUCAUCUUCCAUUCAAGGGAGAGAGCACAAGUAACUCCUGGAACUUGUCCUUUCCUUUUUGUACCCAGUAAAAUAGAUAGAUACAUCCCAAAGAUUUGGCUUUUUAUUACUAUGACUUGUUAUAUUAAGACUCGAAUUAAAAUGGAGAUUUUUAUGGACCUCCACUGCUCAUAAGGUGCGUGAGGAACUGUGUUUUGGGUAUCCUCUGUUUUUUUUAUGUAGCCAUGAUUGCUGUAAUUUAACCUCUUCAAUAGUUUAAUUGUCUCUGAUUUUUUAACUUUUUAGAAUUGAUACAAAUUAAAACAAUCUUUGAUUGAAUCCUAAACUUUUUUAACUUUUUUAUGUAGCCAUGAUUGCUGUAGUUUAAUUGUCUCUAAACUUGAUUUUUUUUAAUAGAAUCCUUGAUUGAAUCGAUAAACUAUUAAAAGUUAAAUUAAAUUUUUAAACGUAAUUAAUUCUUACUAUUUAUAUCUGACUUUUAAACUUUUUUUUUCAAUUAAGUUUUUAAUUAAACCCAUUAAAAAUUUAAUUAAAACCUUAAAUUUAAUUAAUUCUUCUAAUACUGGUUAAGUUGGAUUUUAACCUUCACUUUCUUUCCGGUAAGUCUUUCUUUAGCUCAUCAAAUUAAAAUAUCAUAGUAUGGUUAUUUUGGUUUGUUGCAACUUGAGGACUUAUCUCCUCGUGUCUUGAAAAUAUUUUUGUAUUUUAAAUUUUGAAAUGUUUUUAUUUUUGAAUGCAAUUAACAUGAACAGUGCAAGAAAAGCAAGGAAUCCUUGCUUUUCUUUAACUGCGUUUUCAAAGCAAAAAAUAAGUGGGAUCCAUGAACAUUACAUGACUUUUUUCCUUAACCAAAUAGUUGCAAACUGCGUUUUAAUUAAAACGCAGCCGCAACCGCAUAAACAAACGGGCUCUUAAUUUGACCCGGUGAAAAACAUAGGUUGACUCGAUGUAAAACCCAAUCGACCUGGUCCAUUUUCAUUGAAUCAAAAUAUCAUAGUCUGAUUAUUCUGGUUUGUUGCAGCUCAAGAGCUUAUCUCCUCGUAUCUUGAAAAUAUUUUUUUAUUUUUAAAUAAAAAAAUAUAUUAUUUGUAAAAAAAACUUUUUUGGGGAUCCAAAAUUGAGUUGUGACAUCAUUAUGCAAUUUUUACUCUAAAAUAAAAAAAAUUAAAAAUUAAAAAAAUUGAAAGUUCAAGGCUUUGAUCCUAGUUAUAAAAUCUAAACUAGUUCGAAAGGUUUACUCGAGACUUGGUUAACCUGAAGCAUGGACUAGAUUGAGUUAAACAAACAGAAGUUAGUUAAUUUGACCCGGUUAAAAACAUAGGUUUACUCGAGGUAAAACUCAAUCGAUCUAGUCCUAAAUUUAUUGAUGUUUUUUCAAACAAAAAAAAAAAAUCAAAACAGCACUAUUUUAGUUAUUUUUUAAAAAUUAAAUCAAUAUGAUUUGACCUUUAUGGUCUAUGACUAGAACUUUGCUCCCAGUUAAAUUUUAGAACUAUGACUUAUUAUCUUAAUGGAUAUUUGAGAGUAUGGUAAUGGUUAUUUUUUAAAGUGUUUUUUGUUCGAAAAUAUAUUAAAAUAUUUUUUUAAAAUUAUUUUUGACAUCAAAACGAUAUGAAAAAAAAGCAUCAAUAAUUUAAAGUAAAAAAAUAAAAAAUAUAUUUAAAAAAAACAUUUUUAAAACAUAAAAUUUGUUUCUAAUGGAUCUUCACUGUCGAUUUGAACAGUGAAUCUGCGCAAGGAACUCAAUUUUGGACGUACUCGGAAGGUUGGGUGAGCAGAUCGGAGAAUGGAUGGAUUCAAAUUACAAAGCUGAUGUGAGCAGCUUGGACAAUAGCAAGUGGUGGGCUCAUUUUACUGCGAGGCGAUUUUUCCAGCCUGCCUGUGGUCCUCUUGCAAGUGGAUUGUAUUCCACUAGGGGUGUGCCGCGUGUUUGCGUGUGUGAGAGGGGAAGAUUCCGGUGACUUUUCCAAGUGAAAAAUGUGUCUAUGAUAAAUCAAUAUAUAUCACUUAUGUUUUUGUCAUAAAUGAAAAAAAAUAUUUAAAAGAUAUUUGAAAUCAUAUUCAUUAAUUUAUUAACUAGAAGAAAUAUAAAUACCUCAUGCAUUUUUUUAUAUAAAUAGUGAACCAUCUCUUCUUCUUUUUUUUUUUUUUAAUUUUUAAAUCUUUUCUUUUGAUAGACUCUUCUACAGUUAAAUUUGAUAAAAUUAUAUUCUUUUUUCUUUUUCCCCCCUUCAAUUUAGCUCUCUUUUUUUUAAUUUUAAUUUUAUUAUUUUUUCUCAAUUUCAUUGUUAGAUUUUUUUUUACAAUUAUCUAGCUUGGUUUUAGACUAAUCAAGUUAAUUAGAUCGUGUCGAUACAAUGUUUACACGGUUUAAUUUUAAAUACGAGUCAAACAACGAGUCGAGUUGAGAGUUUUUUCUUUUAAUUUCAUUGAGUUUUUUAAAAAAAUAUUUCUCAAACUUUUUUUAUUGGUCAGAUGAGUUGUUUUUGGAUCGAAAAAGUAGAUUAGAUUAUGCCAAAAAAACUAUCAUAUUAUUUAAUUUUAAACCAAAAUUAAACAUAAAAUUGGGUAGGAAUGCUUAUUUCCUUCGAUCUGUUAUUGUUCUCUGCUGCUUUCUCAUCUUCCAUUCAAGGGAGAGAGUACAAGUAACUCCUGGAACUUGUCCUUUCCUUUUUGUACCCAGUAAAAUAGAUAGAUACAUCCCAAAGAUUUGGCUUUUUAUUACUAUGACUUGUUAUCUGAAGACUCAAAAGAAAAAGGAGUUUUUUAUGGACCUUCAUUGUUUAUAAGGUGAGCGAAGAACUCUGUUCUGGGUGUCCUCUGUUUUUUUUUUUUUAGCCAUGAUGAUUGCAAUAAUUUAAUCUCUUCAAGUUUUAAUUCUCUCUCAUUUUUUAACUUUUUAGAAUUGAUAUAAAUUAUAAUACAAAUAAUUAUAUUUAGAAACUUAAAAUUAAAAAAACCUUGAAUUCUAAUGCAAAACUCAUUAGCCUUGGUCCUGUGUUAGGAUCCAAGAGAUUGGAUCCUAACAAAAGACCAGUAAUAUUGGGUUAGGCAAGGCUAGAGACCCAAGAAAUUUGGGUUUGCGUCCUAACCAAACCUAAACUUCUUUGGACGUCGCUUUUUUUUUCUGCCUCAAGUUUCUUGAAUCUAAAAAAAAAUGUCUGACCCAAAAAAAAGGAAAAAAAAAUAAAAUCAAAUUACUGAUGGAUCCUUCUAGGGGCAAGACCCGUCAACUAGUCCUGCUAGAGAUAGAACACACGCUGAUGGGUCAUGCUCGCAGCAAGAGUCAAGAUUUAUAGGCUUGGUGGCGGCUGGACCUAAAGCUAUUUUAGAUCAUAUUUAUAGUUUCAUCAAAAAUCAAUAAGAGAAAAAAAAAAAAAACAAGAGAGUAAAAACUAAAAUUGAAAAUAUCUUAAAAUAUUUUUUAAAAAAUAUAUUGAGAUAAUUUUUUAAAUUUUUUUUAAAAUAUAAUUUAUAUAUAAUCACAUCAAAAUAAUAAUAAAAAUAUCUUAAUAUGAAUUAAGGAAAAUAUUAAUUUGAAGUGAAGAAAAAAUAAAUAAUAAUAAUAAUUGAUUUUACCAUUAAAAUCAAAUCUAUGCUUUUUCUAUAGCAAUAAUAUUUAUUUUAAGUUCAAUAAUAUUAAUCAAUUUAAUAAUAUUUAUAAUAUUAAUAAUAAUAUUUAACUUCUCUGCCUAAUUUUAUAUAUUUUCAAUCUUUUAAAAACAAUUUAUGCUUUCUUCGAUGAUAGUAAUAAUUGUUUUUUUUUAAAUUUGGUAAUGGCAAUAACAAUAACAAAAAAGUGAUAAUAAUUCUUAAUUUUACCCUGCAAAUCAAAUAUUUUAUUAUUUUUCAAUAUUAAAAAUAUUUUAUAUAAAUUUAUUAAUUAUUAUAUGAAUAAUAUUAAUUGUAAUACAAAUUAUAUUAUUUAUAAUAAAAAAUAAUAGUAGGUUUAAUAUUAAUGAUAUUAAUUAUAAACAAAUCAUAAUAUUUAUAUCACAAAUAAUAAUAUUUUUCAUAAUAAUAAUUAUAAUUAUAAUAAAAAUAAAAAUAUUUAAAAUACAAAUAAUAAUAAUAUUUAUCAUAUUAAUAAUAGUAUUGAACUUUAUUAACAAUAAUGAUAACAAUAAUAAUAAUAAUUGAUAUUUUUUUUCAUUUUUCUUCUUUGCUCGUGCUACACCGCGGGCUCACCUUUUAUUUUAUUAAAAUAAUAUUAUAAAAAUCUAAGACCCAAAAGCGUUGGGUUUGGCUACUACGUCGGACCCAAGAGCAUUGAGUCUAGCUGCAACACCAAACCCAAUAAUAAUAUUUAUAAUAUUAGUAAUAAUAUUUAACUUGUCUUCCAAAAGUUUUUUUUUAAUCUUUAAAAAAAUUAUGGUUUUUCUUCGAUAGUAAUAAUAGUUUUUAAAAAUUUAAUAAUAAUAAUAAUUAAUAUAUUAUUAUUAUUAUUAUUAUUAUUAACUUUACACUUCAAAUCAAAUCUAUGGUUGUUUUUCAAUAUUGAUAAUAUUUUUUUUUCAAAUUUAUUAAUAAUAUUAUUUAUGAUAAAAAUAAUAAUAUCUAUAACACAAAUAAUACUAUUUUUAAUAUUAAUACUUUUAAUUAUAAUAAAAAUACUAAUAUUUAUAACAAAAAUAAUUAAUUUUUUAGAUUAAUACUUUAAUUAUAAUAAAAAUAAUUAUAAUUAUAAUACAAAUAAUUAUAUUUAAAAACUUAGGACCCAAGACCCUUGAGUCCUAACACAGGAUCCUUAACCCUGGGUUCCGACGUCACACCCAAGAGCUUUUGGUCCUGACACAGCCCAAAACAUUGGGUCCUAAUGCAGGACUCAAGAGAUUCGGUUCUGACGAAGAAUCAAUAAUCUUUGAUCAAGCGGGUCUGUAAAGACCUAAAGGAUUUAAGUCUGCGCCUAGCCACACCUAAGAUCCUUGGGUGAGACACCCUUUCCUACCCCAAGUUUCUUGGAUUUGAAAAAGAAUGCCGAACUCAACAAGAAAGAAAACAAAAUGAAAAACAAUUAUUGGUGGAUCCUGCUAGGGGCAUGACCCAACACUGAUGGAUCAUGUUAAGGAUAGGACCCAUGGCUAAUGGGUCCAGUGGUGGCUGGACCCAAAGCUAUUUUGAAGUAAAGACCAAACUUCAUAUAUUUGUUUUGGAUGUGGUUGUACAACGACACCCAAUCUCAAUAUAUUUAAAAAUAAAAUUUAAAAAAUACAAAACAUAAAAAAUAUUAAUUUGAAGUAAAGAAAACAAUAAAAGAAUUUCAAAAAACAUUCAAUGUAUUUUUGGAACGCAAAACGAAACAUGCUUUAAUAAGGAAAUUCGACCCAACCUGAAAUGAAAAAACAAUUAUCAUCACCUAACUUUUGUAUAAUAUAAAACAAAAUCACAUUAAUUUAUUUUCUCUUUACAGUAUGAAAAAAAAAUCAAUAAGAGAAAAGAGAAAAAAUUUCAAGAGAGAAAAAAAUUAAAAUUAGAAAUAUCUUAAAAUAUUUUUUAAAAAAUAUAUUGAGAUAAUAAUUUUUAUUGUUUUAAAUCUAUUUUUUAUAUAAUCACAUAAAAAAUAAUACAAAAUAUUUUAAUAUGAAUUAAAGGAAAAAUAUUAAUUUAAAGUUAAAAAAAUAAUCUUGUUAUAAAAUUUAUUAACAAUAACAAUAACAAAAUUGUUAUUACUUAUUAUUUUUUUUUUCUUUUUUUUUUCAAAUCUGUUAUUUUUCUAUACGGGUCUGUAGACCCAGCAGCAUGGAUCUACUACCCCUGGGGGAGUCUGCAGACUCCAGACUUGGCAGAACAAAACCCAGGCGUGCCUAGCCGCGUGGUUAUGCAACCCUUGAGGGGGUCUGUAGACCCCAAACAUGACAAAAAAUACCCAAGGGCGGGUCUGAACCUCGCUCCCGACUAUGCACACCUAAGUGCGGGGUUUUGCAAACCUAGGCGAGAGGGUUUGCGACCCUAAAGGCGAGGGUCUGCAAUCGCGAGUGGGCUUGCAAACCCAUACACGCGGGUGUGCAAACCCACUUGCCUGUGUCUACAGCCAUGCACUUUGGUUAUGUCGCUCGUGUUGGUCUGCACCCACCACCUAGGUAUGCAGCCCUUGUGCGCGGUUCAACAGACCUGCUCGCCUAGGUUUGCAACCUUGUGCCCGUGCCAGUCCCAACACCAUGUUUCUGCAACUUGGAGCCUACAGUCCCACUUGGCACGCAGGCACCUAGGGCUUGACAUCCCUAGCAUCAUGUCUGCAGCCUAGGGUUUGGAGUCCCACUUAGCAAGCAGGUACCCAGGGCUUGCCAGCCCCAGCGUUAAGUGUCUGCAGCUGCACCAAAAUUAGAACUAACCCAGGGAGUGGAUCUGCAACCUCAUGAUGCUCCCACCCACCAAGCAUUAUAAUUUACAGUGAAAUCACUUAUAAUACACAAUAACUCUUCUUAACUAGUGUAAUCCACAAAUAAAAUGUUUUUAAUUCAUAAUUUCUUCUGCUGUAAUAAAAUAUUAUUAUUAUUUUUAGUUAUAGUUAAUUGAUAACUUCAGCAGCAAGACCAUUAAGUAAUACUCUAAAAGGCGUGUGAAAACUAUUGUAGCUUUCCCACACCUUUUACUAAUAUAUUUACUUAUUAAUAUAUUAUAUUAUUAUAAUUAUUAUAUUAUAAUUAUAAUUAUAAUAAUUAUUAUAUUAUAUUAUAUAACUGUUUUUUUUUAAUGAUUUUUUUGUUUGAUUUAAUUUGUUAAUGUUAAAUUUUUUUAUUUAGUUAUCAGAUUUUCAUGAUACGGAUCUCGGGUUUGAUGGGUUAACCUGAUUUGACGAGUUAACCCGGAUUUUUUUUUAAUUAUUUUUUUUUCAUUUAGUUUAGUUUGUUAAAGUUAAUUUUCUUUAUAUUUAAUUAUCAGACUUUCAUGACACGUAUCUUGGGCUUGACGAGUUAACUUGGUUUGAUGGGUUAACCCAGUUAAUUUUGGGUAAACCUGUCAUUUGCUUUCUAUUUAGUUAUCAAACUUUCAUGACGCGAAUUCCAGGUUUUACGGGAUAACUUGGUUUAGAGGGUUAACUCAAUUAAUUCAAAAAAAAAUUUCUUUUUCUUUAUUAGUUGUUUUCUUCCUGUUGAUUUUUUUUAUUUGUUUUUUUUAAUCCAUCUAUUUAAUUAUUACACUUUUAUGACACGAUCUUAUAGCCAGACCCACAUCCAAUAUUUUUGGAUCCAGUGUUGCAGCUAGGCUUACUUAAACUUGGGUUAUGCAAGUUUAAUGUUAUUAUUAAUAUUAUAGAUAUUACUUUUACGUUAGGCGUUGCAACAAAACCCAAGAUUCUUGGGUAUAGCUUUACAAAAAAAUCCAAGAUUUUUAAAUCUUUGUUUUUUUAUAUAUUUUUUUAUAAAAAAAUAUAAUUUGUGGUAUCGGUCGGGUCAUGGAACUAGUAAUCUAUUAUUAGCUGAUAUCACGUGAGAAUAAUCUUCGUGCCCUUGGGCUGCAAGGCAAAUUAGGAUUUAUAUUAUCGUUCUGUCGUUUUCACUUUUUAUUUUUUUUGUUCUUCAAAUCAACACACGUUAUUUUGGUGUUUGUUAAACAAUGGGACAAGAGAUGGGUUAUAAGUUUGUCAAGGAAAAACAAAAGGUCGACGUCAUUGGAAUCAAUAAAAUAAGUAACCAUUUGGGAACGAUAUUGAAAUAUGUUUUUAUAAAAUUUAAAUAUUUUUUUAAUUAAAAUUUAAUAUAAUUUAUAUAUUUUCGUUUUGAUAUGUUAUAUCAAAAAUAAUUUUUUAAAAAUAAAAAAAUAUCAUUAACAUACAUUUUAACAUAAAAAAUUAUUUAAAAAAAAAAUACUAUCAUACAGCCAACCAUACUCUACAGGAGCUAACAAAAACCCUAUAAAUUCUUCACCAAUCGGGUCUCAUUUCCAUCAAAUUUCAUCGAUCCCAAGUUUGCUGAAGCAGCAGUUUCCAACCAAAAAACAAAAAUGGAAGAUUUUAUUUUAAGAGGGUUUCUGUCCUCUUCUUUACUUCUAUCUCUCUAUGUUGUGUUUAGAGUUAACCUGGUUUGAAGGGUUAACUCAGUUAAUUUAUAUUUUUUUUUAUUAGUUAUUUUCUUCAUGCUGGUUUUUUUCCUAUAAUUUUUUUUUUCUUAAUUUAUUUAAUUAUCAUACUUUUAUGAUAUGAUCUUGCAGCUAGAUCCACAUUCAAGGUUAUUGAGUCUGGUAUUGCAGCCAAAUCCAUUUAAACUUGAAUCAUAUAAGUUUAAUAUUAUUAUUAAUAUUAUAAAUAUUAUUUUUAGGUCAGAUAUUGCAAUCAAAUCUAAGAUUCUUGGGUAUAGUUUUACAAAAAUAUCUAAUACUUUUAAAUUUUAUUUUUUUAUAUAGAAAAAUUUAUCCAUAGCAUCGCGGAAGUUAUCUAAGUAGUACUCUAUUAUUAGCGGAUAUGACGUGAGAAUAAUCUUCGGAGCCUCGGGCUGCAAGGCAUGUCAGGAUUUAUAUUCCCGUUCUGUCGUUUUCAUUUUUUUGUUUUUUUUGUACUUGAAAUCAACACACGUGAUUUUGGUGUUUGUGAAACAACGAGUCAAGAGAUGGGUUAAGUUUGUCAAGAUAAAACAAAAGGCUGUCGUGGGCUUGUGGUGUGAUCUUCUUUUUUUCUCCUUGGAUUCUUGAUGCUUUUUAGGUGGUGUUUUAUAAUAAUGAUUAUUUUUUAAUAUAUGUUUUAUUUAAAAAUAUAUUAAAAUAAAUUUUUUAUUUUAAAAAAUUAUUUUUAACAUUAAUUAAUCAAAAUAAUAUAAAAAUAUUAAAUAAAAAAAUUAAAAUUUUUAUAAAAACAUUAUAUUUUUAAAAGUCACUGACCAAUAAUUCUACAUUGACAGGUCAGAAUUAUUUGUACUAAAACAUCAAAGUUAUCACAUCAACAUAAUUAAAAAUUGUUGAAAAAAUUCAUUUUAAAAUAAUUUAAUUUUUUUAUAUAAAAAACAUGUAUUAAUCAUGUAAUUCAUUGGCUAACAGCAAGUGUUUUUUUUUUUUUUUUCUAGAUUUUGAUAUCUAAAAGUUUACUAGAUCCUAACUAAUCAAAUCAAACUAUAUUAAUUUAAUAAAAAAUAAUUAUAAUUUAAUUAUAAUAUACUCAAUUUACCAUACUCCAAGUCAAACACUUACUUAAUAAUAAUAAACGUCCAAUCACUUGACUAAUCACCAUUUUCGGUUGGUGAUAAAUGUGUUUGUUUGAAAAUGUGUUUAGGAUAUUUUUUAAAAUAUUUUUAAUUAAAAAAUAUAUUAAAUGAUAUUUUUUUAUUUUUAAAAAAUUAAUUUUUAUUUUAAUGCAUUAAAAUGAUGUGAAAAAUCAAAAAUAUAUUAAUUUUUUUAAAAAAAUAACAGUGAGAUAGCACUAUAAAUUUCAUCCACCCCAGGUAUGCUGAAGCAGCAGUUUCCAACCAAACAACCAAAAAUGGAAGAUUUUAUUUUCAGAGGGUUUCUGUCCUCUUCUUUACUUCUAUCUCUCUAUGUUGUGUUUAGAGUUGCUCACACUUUUUGGCUAAAGCCGAGAAGCCAAGAGAAGCGUUUGAGGAAGCAAGGGAUCAGAGGCACUUCUUACAAGCUUUUGAAUGGUGAUAUGAAAGAGUUUGCAAGGUCUUCUAAAGAAGCUAGGUCCAGGCCCAUUGCUCUAAAUCAAGAAAUUGCACCACGUGUCCUUCCAUUCUUUUAUAAAAUGGUGCAAAUUUACGGUGAGCAGCAGCUUCACAGGCUAUCUCAUUUUUUCAGAUUUUUUUUUAUUAUUUUUAGGAAUUUCUGUUCAUACAUAUACUUGGUAAUCGGUAUUAUCCUGAUUUGUAAUGCGAACGAGAACAGGAAAGGUCUCCCUGUGUUGGAUGGGGACAAGACCUAGCCUGCUAUUAGCUGAUCCAGAGCUGGUGAGGUUGGUGUUAACAGACACGAGUGGUCACAUUAUAAAGCAACCGCGAAAUGCCCUUGUGGGUCUGUUAAACCUGGGAGUCUCAACCUUGGAAGGAGACAAAUGGGCCAAGCGCAGAAGGUUGAUGACACCUGCCUUCCACGCUGAGAGAUUAAGGGUAACUUCACCUACCUGAAUCUUGCAAGUUUAAACAUUCUUAAGAAAUUUUUACAGCUUGCAUUUGAAAGUUUAGAAUCUAUUCGGACUUCUUUACAUUUUAUCAAUUGACCAAUGUGCUGCAUAAGCAAAAACUGAUCCAGAAAACAUUCAUCAAUGUAAGCAUAUGUCAAGAAGGAGUGAUAGAGAGUUUCAUAAAUCAUAUUUUGGAACCUUUGCUUUAGCUAUUGGAUUGAGGUAGUUCUAUGACAUAGUAUUUUAUGGAUUAAGAUGGUUCUUUUACAAGUUGAGGAGAUGGUACAGCUAUACACACCAAAACGGUACUGUAGUCAAACUUGAGAUGUUUUUAUAAGGAUUUUCGGAUUCCAGAUCUUUAGCCUUCAAUCACUAGCUUUUUUAACUUUUGAAUUGAAUCAACGUUUGAUAUGGUAUUAGAGUCUAUAUGCUGAUUAGUGCUGGUAUGUGAACAGGGGAUGAUCCCAGCAUUUUCAGCCUGCUGUUGUGAUCUGGUUCAGCGAUGGAAGAAAUUAGCAGGUCCUCAGGGAUCAUGUGAAUUGGAUGUUGCACGCGAAUUUAAUAUUCUUGCAAGUGAUGUUAUAGCUCGAGCAGCCUUUGGAAGCAGCUAUGAAGAGGGAAAGAAAAUAUUUGAUCUUCAAAAGGAUCAAGUUAUUUUGGCCCUUGAAGCUUUUUAUUCCAUUUACUUCCCUGGUUUGAGGUACAUAUUAAUGCCAUUUAUCUCUUGCAAAUUCAAGCUUCUCUUGGUGCUUGUUAAAAUUUUUAACCAAUGUCUGAUAAUACAUUAAAUCCCAGUUAACAACAUUUCAUUUCUUUGCGCUUCUCCAACAGAUUCAUACCCUCUAAAAAGAACAAGAAGAGAUACAGUAUAGACAGAGAGAUAAAAGCAGCAUUGAGAAAUAUUAUCCAUAAGAAGGAGCGGGCCAUGCAAAAUGGAGACUCAGGCGAUGCUGACUUGCUAGGCUUGCUUUUACAGGGCAGGGAUGAUGCUGAUAAUGACAUGAAAAUUGAAGAUGUAAUCGAGGAAUGCAAGUUGUUCUUCUUUGCAGGCCAAGAGACCACAGCAAACUUACUCACUUGGACAUUGAUAGUUCUAUCUAUGCAUCCAGUCUGGCAAGAGAAAGCAAGAGAAGAAGUUUUGCAGAUUUGUGGCAAGAGAACACCUGAUAUCGAUAGUAAAAACAACUCAGAAUUGUAAGUACUUCUUUUGUUCACGCAUUAAUUUACAUGUUUUGUAGCUACAGUCAACUCCUUGGAAACGAUUAUAAAUCCUUGGUUUAUGAAACUAAAUAAAUUUGCAGGUCUCAAUGAUCUUAAACGAGGUACUAAGACUAUAUCCACCUGUGAAUCUUCUGUAUCGACAUACUCUAAAGGAAACAAGCAUUCGAGGAAUGUCCAUUCCAGCUGGGUAGACCUCCUGUUACCAUUCCUGUUUCUUCACUAUGAUCCUGAGUAUUGGGGAGACAACGCAGAAGAAUUCAAACCAGAGAGAUUCUCUGAAGGAGUUUCGAAAGCAUCAAAGGAUGAAAUUGCAUUUUACCCUUUUGGUUGGGGCCCUAGAUUUUGUCUAGGCCAAAACUUUGCCUUGACUGAAGCAAAGAUGGCUCUUACUAUGAUUCUACAAAAUUUCUGGUUUGAGCUUUCACCCUCUUACACGCAUGCUCCUUGUAAUGUCAUAACUCUUCAACCACAACAUGGAGCUCCUAUUAUACUACACCAAUUAUAAGGUUUACAUAGUACUUUGGUGUCUUAGGAAGGGAAGCAACUCAGUUGAAUGAGUCACAGCAGGUUGUCCCAAUGUUUUGUUGUCAACCAGGAACAAGUUGGUGCAGUGGAGAGUGUUGUUUCUAUGCCAUAAUGUUUGCCAUCUGCUAUUGUAUUAAAGUUAUUAUUCCGUUUUCUUUCUUUUGGUUCUGAUGAAUGUUCAUAGUUUGUGCUUAUGAAA